UAGGAAUGAUCUGCAGGUAACGCUGUAAGGGAGGUGCUGUUACCUCUGUUUACAGAGGAUAAACCGGAGCCUGGGAGGAGUCGUCGACUGCUGCUCGGUUAUGCAGCCGAUGGGUGGCAAAGCCCCCUGUUGUGCCCAGGCCUAGCACCUGCAAAGGCCAGACAACGGCGUCAACACAGCUGGCAGAUUUAAAAUAACCGUCGCAGUACUGAAGCUGGGUCAGGGAGCCGAGGUAAGGAAAUAGCGCCCCUAGAGGAGACGUAGCUGCUCCAAGAUCACAGAACUGAUGGAGAGCCGAAGGCCUUCCCUCCAUCACCCCGCGUCUAGGUAGACGCUUCGUCUCAAUCGUUUGUUCAGCCCCACUCUGAGGAUGCCUGGCUCCCACUAUGGACUCGUGGCCGCUUCUCCAAAGUCCAGGUUCAGUUCCCAGGAGGAAGUGGCUUCUGAAGAGCACACCUGGUUGCUGGAGAGUGACAGCGGGAGGGGCACACCACAGGAGGAAGGCCCUUGACAGAGGGCUGGCAGAUUAACGCAGCACACUGGUAAGCAUGGGACCCAGAAAAGGCUCCAGUUUGACUGGGCACAUUUUCUACCAAGUGAAAUGAAUUGUUUUUUCCCGACUGAGGAGAGAGAAGAGAAGUUGAGGCUGGACUGCAGGGACUGGCACCUCUUGAUUUACCCAAGGUCCUCUGGCACCUGAAGCCCAGCCUGUUCCCCAACAGUCACCAAGGUGCUGCGUCCUAUCAGGGAUAAUAACACUUCCUGUGGGGUUCCUCCUGCACAGCGUACAAAAUCUUCCACUUCACUAUCACACCAUCAUGAGAGCUGGACAGGGUGGGAAUUAUCCUCCCCAACCCAACCCCCACCUCAUUUUAAAAUAAGAGAACUGGCUGGGCACAGUGGCUCACAUCUGUAAUCCCAGCACUUUGGGAGGCAGAAGAGGGUGGAUCACUUGAGGUCAGGAGUUUGAGGCCAGCCUGGCCAACAUGGUGAACCCCCAUCUCUACUAAAAAUACAAAAAUUAUCUGGGCAUGUUGCCGCAUCUGUAAUCCCAGCUACUUGGGAGACUGAGACAUGAGAAUCACUUGAACCCAGGAGGUGGAGGUUGCAGUGAGCCAGAAUCACACCACUGCACUCCAGCCUGGGCAACAGAGAAAGACUCUGUUUCAAAAAAAGGAAAAUGGGCUGGGCACGGUGGCUCACGCCCAUAAUCUCAGCACUUUGGGAGGCCAAGGUGGGCAAAUCAUUUGAGGUCAGAAGUUCGAGACCAGCCUGGACAACAUGGUGAAACCCUGUCUCUAUUAAAAACACAAAAAUUAGCCAGGCAUGGUGACAGGUGCCUGUAAUCUCAGCUACUUGGGAGGCUGAGGCAGGAGAAUUACUUGAACUUAGGAGGCAGAGGCUGCACUGAGCUGAGAUUGUGCCACUGCACUCUAGCCUGGGCAACAGAGGGAGACUCCACCUCAAAACAAUAAAUAAGUACAUAAAACACACCAAAGAAGCUGGGCAUGAUGGCUCACACCUGUAACCCAGCCUUUGGAAAGCUGAGGCAGGAGGAUCCCUUGAGUCCAGGAAUUCAAGACCAGCAAGGGCAAAUAGCAAGACCCUGCCAAAAAAACGUAUAAGUAAAUAAGCAUGCACCUGUAGUCCUAGCUACUCUGGAGGCUAGGGCAGGAGGAUUGCGUGAGCCCAGGAGUUCAAGGCUACAGUGAGCUAUGAUCAUGGCACUGCAUGCCAGCCUGGGCAACAGAGGAAGACCUUGUCUCAAAAAAUAAAUAAAAUAAAACACACAAAAGCAGUAUUGCACUGGUUAUAGUUUGGUUUCUCCCUACUGACUGCUAAGAAAGAUGCUACAGCUAAAUAAUGAAAAAGGAAUGAUCAAAUUAGAGUAACACCAUUUUGUACCCACAGAUUAAUGAAUGAAUCUAGGCACUGAGUAUCAGCAGCUGUUAACAUCACUCCCUUUACACAUGACACACACACACACACACACACACACACACACACACACACACACAUUAUGUGACCUCUUGAGGAAAGAACACACCAUCACCUACAGUUGUCAAAAAAAUCAAAACCUGAAUUUGAUCAAGUCUCUGAAUCUAGCUACCAAUUUAUUGGAAAUACAGACAUAUUGCAGAGAUAUCAUGGGUUCAGUUCCAGACAACCACAAUAAAAAGAAUAUUGUAAUCAAGUGAGUUACAUGAAUUUGUUGGUUUCCCAGUGCAUAUAAAAGUUAUGUUGGCCGGGUACGGUGGCUCAUGCCUAUAAUCCCAGCACUUUGGGAGGCCGAAGUGGGCAGAUCAUGAAAUCAAGAGAUCAAGACCACCCUGGCCAACAUGAUGAAACCCCGUCUCUACUAAAAAUGCAAAAAUUAGCCCGGCAUGGUGGCAAGCGCCUAUAAUGCCAGCUACUUGGGAAGCUGAGGCAGAAGAAUUGCUUGAACCCAGGAGGUGGAGGUUGCAGUGAGCUGAGAUCAUGCCUCUGCACUCUAGCCUGGACAAUAGAGCAAGACUCUAUCUCAAAAAAAAAAAAAGAACUUUAUCACUGGGUGCAAUGGCUCAAGCCUGUAAUCCCAACUACUCUGGAGGACUGCUUGAGGCCAGAAGUUCAAGACCAGUCUGUGCAAUGUAAUGAGACCUAGCCCCUAAACAAGUAAUACAUAAAAUAAAUAAAAAUUUUAAAAAUUAGCUGAGUGUGGUGACAUGGGUCUAUAGUCCCAGCUACUUGGGAGGUCAAGGCCAGGGGAUUGCUUGAG